rnacentral:sRNA from 1 species
ACAUCCAGGCAGCGCAGGCCGCGGGCCGCUCCCCUAGCCAGGAAGAGCCGCCGUCCGCACCGGGACCGGAGAGGAAGCGGAGGUGAGGCGGAACCAACCCUCCUGGCCAUGGGAGGGGCCGUGGUGGACGAGGGCCCCACAGGCGUCAAGGCCCCUGACGGCGGCUGGGGCUGGGCCGUGCUCUUCGGCUGUUUCGUCAUCACUGGCUUCUCCUACGCCUUCCCCAAGGCCGUCAGUGUCUUCUUCAAGGAGCUCAUACAGGAGUUUGGGAUCGGCUACAGCGACACAGCCUGGAUCUCCUCCAUCCUGCUGGCCAUGCUCUACGGGACAGGUGAGGGUGGCCUCACACCGGGCCCCCUGUCCGGGGCUCUGCUGGCGGAUCCUGCUGGGCGCAUGUAGCUGGGCUCAGCAACAGGGCCUUCCGCCUGCUCCCCAGGGAACCCUGGAGGGAAGCCCUUGGGGCCAGGAUCCUGCUGGGCAGCAACAUGCUCUCCACGGGGCCAACCCAGGCAGGGCACGAAGUCCAUCCUGGCCCCUGUCCAAACGGGUCGGCUGUA